rnacentral:rRNA from 1 species
AUUGAACGCUGGCGGCAUGCCUUACACAUGCAAGUCGAACGGUAACGGGCCUUCGGGUGCCGACGAGUGGCGAACGGGUGAGUAAUGUAUCGGAACGUACCUUUCAGUGGGGGAUAACGUAGCGGAAGUUACGCUAAUACCGCAUAUUCUGUGAGCAGGAAAGCAGGGGAUCGCAAGACCUUGCGCUGAUUGAGCGGCCGAUAUCAGAUUAGCUAGUUGGUGAGGUAAAGGCUCACCAAGGCGACGAUCUGUAGCGGGUCUGAGAGGAUGAUCCGCACACUGGAACUGAGACACGGUCCAGACUCCUACGGGAGGCAGCAGUGGGGAAUUUUGGACAAUGGGGGCAACCCUGAUCCAGCCAUGCCGCGUGAGUGAAGAAGGCCUUCGGGUUGUAAAGCUCUUUCGGCCGGGAAGAAAUCGUAUCAGCUAAUACCUGGUGCGGAUGACGGUACCGGCAUAAGAAGCACCGGCUAACUACGUGCCAGCCGCCGCAGUAACAC